rnacentral:rRNA from 1 species
AGGAUGAACGCUGGCGGUCUGCUUAACACAUGCAAGUCGAACGGAGUAGCAAUACUUAGUGGCGGACGGGUGAGUAACGCGUGAGAAUCUACCUUCAGGACGGAGACAACAGUUGGAAACGACUGCUAACCCCCGAUGUACCGAAAGGGCAAAUAUUUAUAGCCUGAAGAAGAGCUCGCGUCCGAUUAGCUAGUUGGAGAGGUAAAAGCUCACCAAGGCGACGAUCGGUAGCUGGUCUGAGAGGACGAUCAGCCACACUGGGACUGAGACAUGGCCCAGACUCCUACGGGAGGCAGCAGUGGGGAAUUUUCCGCAAUGGGCGAAAGCCUGACGGAGCAAGACCGCGUGGGGGAAGAAGGCUCUUGGGUUGUAAACCCCUUUUCUCUGGGAAGAACGGCAAUGACGGUACCAGAGGAAUCAGCAUCGGCUAACUCCGUGCCAGCAGCCGC